UGGAUUGGGAAGGCAGGCCCUACUGUUCCUGGGCCGGACACAGAAGAGAACACUGGCUUUGGAGUCGAGGGACCAGAAGCCUCAGUCACUCCCAAUGUGUCCAUGGGCAGGUCUCUUCCCAGCUCCAAGACUCAGUUUCCUCACUGGUAAAAUAAAGGGACUGGAUUCAAUGGCUUGAGGUACUGGCUUAGAUCCAGGAUCCCUGAGCAGUAGGACCACCAAGUGGAAAAGAGUUGACUGAAGCCCUGGACCAGCAAUGCAUGGAUGGAUGGAUGGAUGGAUGGACCAGAAAAUCUGCUGUCUGAGUACCAGCCCCACUGAACUCCUGAAGGUCAUCCUGAUGAUCAAGGCUGACGGCUUUGCAUCAGGAGGAAGUUCCCUCACCCAAGAAAUCACUGAUCCUUGAAAUGCUAACGUGAUUUUAGAAUCAAGUUAGAUCUCUUUCCAUAGGGGACAAAAAUCUCUAUCUUUGGUCAUGCUAAGAAAAAACAUACAUAUACCUUAACAAUAAUACCAUUAGAUAUUUAGGAAACAUUUUAUAAAAUUAGCAACUAACAUCUUGGUUUUAAAUUAUGACAUUUUUAUCAACCCUCACAACUUGAAAAAAAAUUCUGUUUUAUAGGAAGAUUUCAUUUGAAACACAAUCCACUCAAUUCUGUAUACAAAUACAGUGCUGGAGAAAUAAGAAGUCUUAAUAAUUCAGAGCCCACUUACUUAAAAUUUGUGAUUAAUUCAGACUUGAAUUAGGGUAAAAACUUACCUUCCCAUUAUCUAUGAAAAAAUAAUUUGCUAAACAAAUUAUGUGAAUCAGACUACACAGGGAUUUCUCAGUUUCAUUAAAAUUUUAAACUCUUUUGAAGUUUCUAUAGGAGCAGCCUAUUUGCAGAAAAUGUGCUUGUUACAAAACAAUCUUUGGCAACCACUAAGGCUGGAACUGGAAGAAAGACUGCAAUGACUAGUCAAAAGAUGUGGCUUCAUAUCCUGGCUCUGCCAGGCACGCCCUUGCCAUCCUUCCUGCCAAGCAUUCUCCAAACCCCAACACCUCCUGACUCCACAACCUAGGGGUAAGGGACUCCAGGUGAAGACGCUGCCCAGGACUGGGGGGAGGAGGAGGAGAUUCCUAAGCUGGUUUUCCAGUGGAGGAAGGUGCCCUCUGCCAGCCGUUCUCCAAACACUUAGCAACAGCAGCCACUGGGCAUUUGCCGAACAUCCUGUGUUUUCUAUAACUUGUGACACUCUUCAAAGUCAGUCUAAACCGUUCUUUCAAAAGCAAACUUCAGUGGACUGGACAGUCUAGGCCUGUGUCUGCCCCAUCUGGCUGCCAUCGGAGACAGUCAUACUGACUCUGUCAGCCAAGUCUGGAAAGUGACGAGAAAGUGAUACGUCGGGGUCCCCUCGAGGACCUUCUGCUGACUCUCCAAGUGGCUGCAAUCUUCAUCAGGGAAGGAGAAUCCACACCUACAAAAUCACCCUGUAGAAAAGCCUUGCUGAUUCAGGGCUCCGGCUAAGGACCCAGGUAUCAAUCACAGGGGCCAUGCACAGACAUUUAUAAGUGGGCUUCUUGACUGGUUUUGUGGCAAUAAUCCCCGGGGCAGUCAGGCCAGUAAAGCCCAUGAAGCUCUUAUUAGAAUUGGCUUUUUAAGUGCACAACAGGCAGAGGCUUGCAAAAGAAACCAAUUAUACUGAAAAACUGUAUACUCAGUAUCAGCACGCUUCAUACCGAAGUAUUUUUAAAACAAGUUCACAAACCCCAGGGCCAAGAACCUCUGUUUUUUAGAACCUGCUCUUUUGAAAAAGGCUCUGAUUUCAGGCUUGAAAGCAUCAAGGUGA